CCUUAGAGUUUGAUCCUGGCUCAGGACGAACGCUGGCGGCGUGCCUAAUACAUGCAAGUAGAACGCUGAAGAGAGGAGCUUGCUCUUCUUGGAUGAGUUGCGAACGGGUGAGUAACGCGUAGGUAACCUGCCUGGUAGCGGGGGAUAACUAUUGGAAACGAUAGCUAAUACCGCAUAAAAUUGAUUAUCGCAUGAUAAUCAAUUGAAAGGUGCAAAUGCAUCACUACCAGAUGGACCUGCGUUGUAUUAGCUAGUUGGUGGGGUAACGGCUCACCAAGGCGACGAUACAUAGCCGACCUGAGAGGGUGAUCGGCCACACUGGGACUGAGACACGGCCCAGACUCCUACGGGAGGCAGCAGUAGGGAAUCUUCGGCAAUGGACGGAAGUCUGACCGAGCAACGCCGCGUGAGUGAAGAAGGUUUUCGGAUCGUAAAGCUCUGUUGUAAGAGAAGAACGAGUGUGAGAGUGGAAAGUUCACACUGUGACGGUAUCUUACCAGAAAGGGACGGCUAACUACGUGCCAGCAGCCGCGGUAAUACGUAGGUCCCGAGCGUUGUCCGGAUUUAUUGGGCGUAAAGCGAGCGCAGGCGGUUAGAUAAGUCUGAAGUUAAAGGCUGUGGCUUAACCAUAGUACGCUUUGGAAACUGUUUAACUUGAGUGCAAGAGGGGAGAGUGGAAUUCCAUGUGUAGCGGUGAAAUGCGUAGAUAUAUGGAGGAACACCGGUGGCGAAAGCGGCUCUCUGGCUUGUAACUGACGCUGAGGCUCGAAAGCGUGGGGAGCAAACAGGAUUAGAUACCCUGGUAGUCCACGCCGUAAACGAUGAGUGCUAGGUGUUAGACCCUUUCCGGGGUUUAGUGCCGCAGCUAACGCAUUAAGCACUCCGCCUGGGGAGUACGACCGCAAGGUUGAAACUCAAAGGAAUUGACGAAGGGCGAAUUCCAG
rnacentral:rRNA from 1 species